rnacentral:rRNA from 1 species
ACAGAGGUCCCAAGCGUUGUUCGGAUUUACUGGGCGUAAAGGGUGCGUAGGCGGUUGGGUAAGUCUGAUGUGAAAUCCCCGGGCCCAACCCGGGAACUGCAUUAGAAACUGCCUGGCUUGAGGGUUGGAGGGGGGACUGGAAUUCCCGGUGUAGCAGUGAAAUGCGUAGAUAUCGGGAGGAACGCCAGUGGCGAAGGCGAGUCCCUGGACAACACCUGACGCUGAGGCGCGAAAGCUAGGGGAGCAAACAG